CCCGUUCGUCUCUGCAGGUAUAGCUGGUCGACGAUAGUUAGCUUAGUAGGUAAACGUUGAGAGUAUAGGUGAACUUGUGGAGACUGCUACUAGCUAGUGUACCACACUCAUUCACGACAAUCCUUAAUUAAUUAAUCCAAUUAAUUGAUAAUUAGUGACGAUACUGCCACGGUGAAAACCGUUGACGGAGGAAAACAUUGGCGGAACAUUUGACCCAUAUUUAUGGGGUUAGAAGUUAGUUAUCUUAUUGACAAGUUAGGUAUUUGACCCAUAUUUAUGGGGUUAGAAGUUAGUUAUUUUAUUGACAAGUUAGGUAAGCAAGGAGAAAGAAAAAGAAGAAAUGUGCAAUAGUCGUGAAACGGGAUUGGACCUCGCUCGCUAAUCCGGUGGGUGUAGUUAGGCAGUGGCCGCUGCAGGAACUACGGGCUCUCCGUCGUUCCAAAGAGGCUGUGCUGGCCUACGGGUCGCAAGGAACUGCGUAGAGCAACAGGGGCCGCCGUCGGGUGCGGGAGGCCGCGCACCACGCUCGUGCGGAGUGGGACGUCUCGCCGUGCCGCCGCGCCCAGAGGUCUGCCGCGCACCAGCGCACCGGAGCUGGAGGGCGUAGUCGGGCUCCGCAAGCGCCGUGUCCGCGUCCGCGACGCUCAGAGAGCUAGUCCCUUCUUUGGUCUACGUUUCUCUUUCUUUCGUGUUUUAAGUCUCUUUCCAGUUCUUGUCGUCUUGCCGUUCCCCUAGUCUUCUUUUGUAUGUUCUAGGGACACUGUGUAGAGCAUGUUUUGCUGUUAUUACGUUUCUGGUUGAGACGUAGUAUGUAGUUAGUCCACUAAGUUAAGGCUAAAGCAAUAUGAUUGGAGAUCACGUAGCAAAAAUUACAGCAGGUUUCGUUUGAAGCCGUCGUUGGGUACCGGGCCAGCUACAAAUGGAGCCGAUCCGAGGAGCGCCUCGCCGCUGUAGGAAGCCGGGCCGACGAGGGUCGCAACGUGGGGCUCCGCCGGCACCUGGUGCCGGGGCCGCACCGCCUCCUACGUGAGACCCGGACGUAGAAAAAGCUACUCCGCCGGUCCGCGCAUUGCGUGUCGCCGCCGUCGCCGGUUGCCGGCCACGGGCCGUACCGUUGCGGGCCGUCGUUUGUGCCACAGAGCGCCGAGGCGCCGCCGCCGGUAGCCGGCCGCACGCCGUCGCGCCAGGAGUCGGGCCCGUCUCCGUCGGGUGCUCCGCGUUUUGCGCCGCCGCGUUGGUAGCCAGACGGGCGUGACGUGUCGCCGUCGUCAAUGGUACCGGUGCUGCGAGCGUACCCUAUUCUUUAACCCCUAGAAUAGAAGAAACCUUAAAUAAGUUAAGUUGGUACAUGAAUCUCUAUUAGUAUAGAACGGGGACGUCAAAGUCUAGGUCAUUCUGAAUUGACCCUAAAUGAUUUGGCGUACAAAAUCAUGGGUCUAAAGACUUUAACAGUAAGUCAGAGAUUGUGAACGCCAACGUCAAAAUUCAGAUGUCUGAAACAAACCAGACGUAAAAUUAGAUACAUGAACGACAUUUCGUAUAAUUUU
rnacentral:rRNA from 1 species